AGUCGUGCCGUUCAUGUCCUUCUCUUAUUCUAGACUGGAAAGAUCUGGCGGUUCAGGGAUCACACGUCUCACCUGCCAGGUGAUCCUAGCUCUGCCUUCCUUGGUGCAUGUGUCAUGUACUUAGGACCUGUUGUUCCAUUCCUGCUCCUGGGCUUGACAAGCCACACUGGCUGACUCACCUCUCCCCCUCUCUCCUGAGUUCCUCCUUUUCUUCCUCCGCCUGUAGCAUAUUUGCAUCCGAAGGUCUCCAUGCCCCUCAACCCCCUUCCUGCCUUCCCUCUGUGUGCUCACACUCCUGCUAUUCUCCCACGAGUCCAAGUUCAAAAUCCCACGUUCGUAUGUGGUUUCCUUCUCCGUUGGGCACCACCCUCCCUCCAAGAAUAAUAAAACUCUUUGAGUCCUAGCCUUGACCACACGUGCCCUCAGUUCAUGCCUGGACAUUUUAAGGGAUCUCCCAGUUAUGCCACCACCGUUUCAUGGGUGAUGAAGUUGCCAAACUUAUUUAUUCACUCACAUGCUUUCCUAGUUGCCCAAGAA